rnacentral:rRNA from 1 species
AAUGAACGUUGGCGGCGUGGAUUAGGCAUGCAAGUCGAGCGAGAAGCUUUCCUUCGGGAAAGUGGAAAGCGGCGAAAGGGAGAGUAACGCGUGGAUAUCUACCCCCGGGUUUGGGAUAGCUGCGGGAAACUGCAGGUAAUACCAGAUAAUGUCUUCGGACCAAAGGUGUGAUUCCGCCCAGGGAUGAGUCCGCGUCCUACUAGCUUGUUGGUGGGGUAAUGGCCUACCAAGGCAAUGAUGGUACCGGGCGUGAGAGCGUGGCCCGGCUCACUGGGACUGAGACACUGCCCAGACGUCUACGGACGGCUGCAGUCGAGAAUCUUCGGCAA